rnacentral:rRNA from 1 species
UCCGCAAUGGGCGAAAGCCUGACGGAGCAAUACCGCGUGAGGGAAGAAGGUCUGUGGAUUGUAAACCUCUUUUGUUAGGGAAGAUAAUGACGGUACCUAACGAAUAAGCAUCGGCUAACUCCGUGCCAGCAGCCGCGGUAAGACGGAGGAUGCAAGCGUUAUCCGGAAUUAUUGGGCGUAAAGCGUMCGYAGGCGGCUUUAUAAGUCUGUUGUCAAAGCCCGAGGCUUAACCUUGGAAAGGCAAUGGAAACUGUAAGACUAGAGAGAGAUAGGGGCAGGAGGAAUUCCAGGUGUAGCGGUGAAAUGCGUAGAUAUCUGGAAGAACACCAGUGGCGAAAGCGUCCUGCUGGAUCUCAACC